rnacentral:rRNA from 1 species
AUUGAACGCUGGCGGCAUGCUUUACACAUGCAAGUCGGACGGCAGCACAGAGAAGCUUGCUUCUUGGGUGGCGAGUGGCGAACGGGUGAGUAACAUAUCGGAACGUACCGAGCAGUGGGGGAUAACUAAUCGAAAGAUUAGCUAAUACCGCAUAUAUUCUGAGGAAGAAAGCAGGGGACCAUUUGGCCUUGCGCUGUUUGAGCGGCCGAUAUCUGAUUAGCUGGUUGGUGGGGUAAAGGCCUACCAAGGCGACGAUCAGUAGCGGGUCUGAGAGGAUGAUCCGCCACACUGGGACUGAGACACGGCCCAGACUCCUACGGGAGGCAGCAGUGGGGAAUUUUGGACAAUGGGCGCAAGCCUGAUCCAGCCAUGCCGCGUGUCUGAAGAAGGCCUUUCGGGUUGUAAAGGACUUUUGUCCAGGGAAGAAAAGGGCGGGGCUAAUACCCCUGUGCUGAUGACGGUACCUGAAGAAUAAGGACCGCUAACUAAC